rnacentral:rRNA from 1 species
ACGCACGCUGGCGGCGUGCCUAAUCCAUGCAAGUAGAACGCUGAAGGAGGAGCUUGCUCUUCUGGAUGAGUUGCGAACGGGUGAGUAACGCGUAGGUAACCUGCCUGGUAGCGGGGGAUAACUAUUGGAAACGAUAGCUAAUACCGCAUAACAGUAGAUGUUGCAUGACAUUUACUUAAAAGGUGCAAUUGCAUCACUACCAGAUGGACCUGCGUUGUAUUAGCUAGUUGGUGGGGUAACGGCUCACCAAGGCGACGAUACAUAGCCGACCUGAGAGGGUGAUCGGCCACACUGGGACUGAGACACGGCCCAGACUCCUACGGGAGGCAGCAGUAGGGAAUCUUCGGCAAUGGACGGAAGUCUGACCGAGCAACGCCGCGUGAGUGAAGAAGGUUUUCGGAUCGUAAAGCUCUGUUGUAAGAGAAGAACGAGUGUGAGAGUGGAAAGUUCACACUGUGACGGUAUCUUACCAGAAAGGGACGGCUAACUACGUG